AUUUUCAUUGUCUUCUAUUUAUUCUAUUUUCUUUUUCUCUUUUUCAUUUUCUUGUAAUUAUUCUUUUUUCUUUUUUUCUUUUUCAUUUUCUACUUAUAAUUAGUAUUUUCGCAUAUUUUUUAAUCUGUAUAACUUAUGUUAAUCGUUUAAUUAUCAGAAUAUAGAAGAUGACAUUUUAUGUUCUUUAGGAUAUAAGUAUAUAUUUAAUUAAUUAUUGAUGUUCAAUACAUAUUUUUCUAAAUUAAUUAAUGUCAAGCUUUGUUACUCAUUAAAUGUUUGAAUGAUUUAUAUAAUUGAGGAUUUACAUAAUAUAAAUAUUUAGCUUGCAAUAUUUAAUAGAAAUCUCUGGUACAUAAUCACUUUAUGAUUGUAUAAACAAAAAACAAAGGGUAAAAAAAUACGUACUACUGAAAAAUUGUCAUAUUUUCCUUUUUUUUCUAUCUUUUAUGAGUAAUUUUCUUUCUUGUCUAUCAAAUGUACGGAACAAUUGAUUUCUGAUAUAGGUUAAUCUUUUGAAGGUUACACAUCUCUAACUUGGUUAUUUUGUCACUCAAUUCAUCUGUGUUUCCUCUUAUUUUAAAUUUUAUUCUUGCAUCACCAAUGAUUAUGAUAGGGUUUUUCGUAUUGUUUUGAUGAGAUUGAGAUGUUUGUUAGGAUUAUGAGGAUCUCACAAUAAUAAAGUUGGUGCUAAUGUAACACUAGAAAAAUGAUUGGGUUGGUUUCCUUUAAUACAUACGGUCUCAUUUUCAUUGUCUUGUAAUUAUUCUAUUUUCUUUUUUUCUUUUUCAUUUUCUUGUAAUUAUUCUUUUUUCUUUUUUUCUUUUUCAUUUUCUACUUAUAAUUAGUAUUUUAGCAUAUUUUUUAAUCUAUAUAACUUAUGUUAAUCGUUUAAUUAUCAGAAUAUAGAAGAUAACAUUUUAUGUUCUUUAGGAUAUAAGUAUAUAUUUAAUUAAUUUUGAUGUUCAAUACAUAUCUUUCUAAAUUAAUUAAUGUCAGGCUUUGUUACUCAUUAAAUGUUUGAAUGAUUUAUAUAAUUGAGGAUUUACUUAAUAUAAAUAUUUAGCUUGCAAUAUUUAAUAGAAAUCUCUGCUACAUAAUCACUUUAUGAUUGUAUAAACAAAAAACAAAGGGUAAAAAAAUACGUACUGCUGAAAAAUUGUCAUAUUUUCCUUUUUUUCUAUCUUUUAUGAGUAAUUUUCUUUCUUAUCUAUCAAAUGUGCGGAACAAUUGAUUUAUGAUAUAGGUUAAUCUUUUGAAGGCUAUACAUCUCUAACUUGUUUAUUUUGUCACUCUAUUCAUCUGUGUUUCCUCUUAUUUUCAAUUUUAUUCUUGCAUCACCAAUGAUUAUGAUAGUGUUUUUCGUAUUGUUUUGAUGAGAUUGAGAUGUUUGUUAGGAUUAUGAGGAUCUCACAAUAAUAAAGUUGGUGCUAAUGUAACACUAGAAAAAUGAUUGGGUUGGUUUCCUUUAAUACAUACGGUCUCAUUUUCAUUGUCUUGUAAUUAUUCUAUUUUCUUUUUUUCUUUUUCAUUUUCUUGUAAUUAUUCUUUUUUCUUUUUUUCUUUUUCAUUUUCUACUUAUAAUUAGUAUUUUAGCAUAUUUUUUAAGCUAUAUAACUUAUGUUAAUCGUUUAAUUAUCAGAAUAUAGAAGAUGACAUUUUAUGUUCUUUAGGAUAUAAGUAUAUAUUUAAUUAAUUUUGAUGUUCAAUACAUAUCUUUCUAAACUAGUUAAUGUCAAGGUUUGUUACUCAAUAAAUGUUUGAUUGAUUUAUAUAAUUGAGGAUUUACUUAAUAUAAUUAUUUAGCUUACAAUAUUUAAUAGAAAUCUCUGGUUCAUAAUCACUUUAUGAUUGUAUAAACAAAAUACAAAGGGUAAAAAAAUACGUACUGCUGAAAAAUUGUCAUAUUUUCCUUUUUUUUCUAUCUUUUAUGAGUAAUUUUCUUUCUUAUCUAUCAAAUGUACGGAACAAUUGAUUUCUGAUAUAGGUUAAUCUUUUGAAG
rnacentral:lncRNA from 1 species